GACAUAGGUGGCGAACGUUAUCCGGAAUUAUUGGGCGUAAAGAGUGCGUAGGUGGUUUGAUAAGUUAACGGUGGGAAAUCAGGGCUCAACCCUGUGGAAGUCGGUAAUACUGUUAAACUAGAAGGCUGGAGAAGUUAACGGAAUUCUAUGUGUAGCGGUAAAAUGCUCAAAUAUCAGGAGGAACACCAAUAGCGAAGGCAGCUCGCUGGGACGUUACUGACACUAAGGCGCGAAAGCGUGGGGAGCGAACAGG
rnacentral:rRNA from 1 species